CCUACGGGGUGCAGCAGUGAGGAAUAUUGGUCAAUGGUCGGGAGACUGAACCAGCCAAGCCGCGUGAGGGAGGACGGUACAGAGUAUCGUAAACCUCUUUUGUCAGGGAACAAAGACUGGGCCUCUUCCCCUGAUGAGUGUACCUGAAGACAAAGCUUCGGCUACCUCCGUGCCAGCAGCCGCGGUAAUCCGGAGGAUCCGAGCGUAUUCCGGAUUUAUUGGUUUUAAGGGGUGCGAAGGCGGUCUGUUAAGUCAGGGUACAAAGCGCGGGGCUCACCCCCGUCCCGCCGUUGAAACUGGGAGUCUCGAGUUGGAGAGAGGUAUGCGGAAUGCGCGGUGUAGCGGUGAAAUGCAUAGAUAUCGCGCAGAACCCCGAUUGCGAAGGCAGCAUGCCGGCGCCACACUGACGCUGAGGCACGAAAGCGUGGGUAUCGAACAGGAUUAGAUACCCCGGUAGUC
rnacentral:rRNA from 1 species